CAGAGGAGGAGGCAGAGGAGGAGACAGAGAAGGAGACCGAGGAGGAGAGGCUCUUGUCCAGUCACAGCUCAGGUUCAGCUUCUGACCCCGGGGCCAAAAGGAAAA